GACGUAGGAUGCAAGCGUUAUCCGGAAUUAUUGGGCGUAAAGCGUUCGUAGGUGGUUUGUUAAGUUGGAUGUUAAAUCCCUGAGCUCAACUCAGGAUUGGUGUCCAAAACUGGCAAGCUGGAGACAGGUAGAGGUAGAUGGAACUCUGUGUGUAGGGGUAAUAUCCGUAGAUAUACAGAAGAACACCAAAAGCGGAAGCAAUCUACUGGACCUGUUCUGACACUCAAGAACGAAAGCGUGGGGAGCAAACGGG
rnacentral:rRNA from 1 species